GUUUAAAUGAAUUAUCACUCAAAGUUCUGUAUCAAUAUGCCUAAUAAGGAAUCUAUUUGUCAAAAAAUAUUUCCUGAAUCUGUUUUUUUAAUCCAGUAUU